rnacentral:lncRNA from 1 species
AAAAGGGUAACUUAAAUUCAUGCAAAGCCCCAAAAAUUCAAAUCAGGGACGUCUUCUGGCCUAAGAAAUACCAGAAGGCAAGGUCUGACGCAUAAGAUACAAUAAUGUCUCCCACGCAGGAUCUAAGUCAACGAAUAGCUUUGUUUAUUUUCUCUUGUUCAGUUCUGUUACUGUACGACAUCCUAGGUUGUGUGUAUAGUUAGCUUUGUUUAUUUUCUCUUGUUCAGUUCUGUUACUGUACGACAUCCUAGGUUGCGUGUAUAGUUAGUGAGGAUAGAAUCAGAG